GACGAACGCUGGCGGCGUGCCUAAUACAUGCAAGUUGAGCGCUGAAGGUUGGUACUUGUACCAACUGGAUGAGCAGCGAACGGGUGGGUAACGCGUGGGGAAUCUGCCUUUGAGCGGGGGACAACAUUUGGAAACGAAUGCUAAUACCGCAUAAAAACUUUAAACACAAGUUUUAAGUUUGAAAGAUGCAAUUGCAUCACUCAAAGAUGAUCCCGCGUUGUAUUAGCUAGUUGGUGAGGUAAAGGCUCACCAAGGCGAUGAUACAUAGCCGACCUGAGAGGGUGAUCGGCCACAUUGGGACUGAGACACGGCCCAAACUCCUACGGGAGGCAGCAGUAGGGAAUCUUCGGCAAUGGACGAAAGUCUGACCGAGCAACGCCGCGUGAGUGAAGAAGGGUUUCGGAUCGUAAAACUCUGUUGGUAGAGAAGAACGUUGGUGAGAGUGGAAAGCUCAUCAAGUGACGGUAACUACCCAGAAAGGGACGGCUAACUACGUG
rnacentral:rRNA from 1 species